rnacentral:rRNA from 1 species
AUGUCGGUGCACAUCGCGGCCGUGGCGGUUCUCAUCGCGCUCCUCGCCCCCGCCCGAGCCUCGGACGUCUCCUCCUUCCCGCUCACGCAGACGCAGUCCCCGGCCAACGCCUCCGCGGCGCCCUCCUCCCCGCCCUGCCGCCUCGACCUCUCCGCGGAGCUCUUCGGCGGCGUGGCCGCGGCGUGCGGGGCCGGCGGCGGGCCGGGCUCCCUCGACCGCGGCCGCUGCUGCCCCGUCCUCGCGGCCUGGCUCUUCGCGGCGCACGCGCGCACGGCGCUGUCCGUCCCGGCGCCGGCGCCGGCGCUGGCGGGCGAGGGCCUGGACGGGGGCGAGGGCCCCAUGGUCCCGUACGACAACCAGCGGUGCGUGGACGCGCUGGGCACCGCGCUGGAGAAGCGCGGGGUGGCGCUGCAGCGGCCCAACGCGACGUGCGACACGGUGAUCUGCUUCUGCGGCAUCCGGCUCCACCAGAUCGGCUCGCUCCGCUGCCCGGCCGCGUUCGCCGUCGGCGCCGCCGCCAGGAACGCCACGCCCACCGCCGCGGUCAAGGACCUGGAGAAGAGCUGCCGCAACGCGUCCUACGCCGGCUGCUCCCGCUGCGUCCAGUCCCUGCAAAAGGUGAAGGGGAACGUGAGCCGGGAGGUCGCCGGCGGCGACCGCGCCCGGCGGAUGCUGGGGCUGGACUGCCAGCUGAUGGGCCUGACGUGGCUGCUGGCCAAGAACAAGACGGUGUACAUCCCCACCGUGUCCGCCGUGCUGCGCGCCAUGCUCUACACCGCGCACCCCACCGAGUCCGGCAGCCACUCCAAGGUUGGCGGCGGCAGCGGCGGGGCGCCGCCGCGGUGCAGCCCGGACCAGGAGAACAUGCCGCUGGCCGUGGACUCGCUGCAGUUCGAGCACGCCGGCAGCACGAGCUCGGCCGCCGCCCUGCUCCGCGGCUCCCUCCUCUGGCUGGCGCUCUACUGCUUCCUCUGGGACGCGUUCUUGUAA